rnacentral:rRNA from 1 species
GACGAACGCUGGCGGCGUGCCUAAUACAUGCCAGUUGAGCGCUGAAGGUUGGUACUUGUACCAACUGGAUGAGCAGCGAACGGGUGAGUAACGCGUGGGGAAUCUGCCUUUGAGCGGGGGACAACAUUUGGAAACGAAUGCUAAUACCGCAUAAAAACUUUAAACACAAGUUUUAAGUUUGAAAGAUGCAAUUGCAUCACUCAAAGAUGAUCCCGCGUUGUAUUAGCUAGUCGGUGAGGUAAAGGCUCGCCAAGGCGAUGAUACAUAGCCGACCUGAGAGGGUGAUCGGCCACAUUGGGACUGAGACACGGCCCAAACUCCUACGGGAGGCAGCAGUAGGGAAUCUUCGGCAAUGGACGAAAGUCUGACCGAGCAACGCCGCGUGAGUGAAGAAGGUUUUCGGAUCGUAAAACUCUGUUGGUAGAGAAGAACGUUGGUGAGAGUGGAAAGCUCAUCAAGUGACGGUAACUACCCAGAAAGGGACGGCUAACUACGUG